UUGAAACACCGGUUCUCGUCCGAUCAACGAAGUUAAGCAAUGUUGAACCUCGUCAGCACAAAGAUGGGUGAACGUUGGGGAAUACCAAGUUCUGUAAU